GGACCUGACUGCUAUCGGAUUGAUCCUUAGCCAUGCGAGUCAUUGUAGUAAUACAAGGCAGACGGCUCAGUAACGCGUAGUCAACCUACCCUAUGGACGGGGAUAACCUCGGGAAACUGAGAAUAAUACCCGAUAGAACAUUAUGCCUGGAAUGGUUUAUGUUUCAAAUAAUUUAUUGCCGUAGGAUGGGACUGCGGCCUAUCAGUUUGUUGGUGAGGUAAUGGCCCACCAAGACUAUUACAGGUACGGGCUCUGAGAGGAGUAGCCCGGAGGUGGGUACUGAGACACGGACCCAGGCCCUAUGGGGCGCAGCAGGCGAGAAAACUUUGCAAUGUGCGAAAGCACGACAAGGUUAAUCCGAGUGGUUUCUGCUAAAGGAACCUUUUGUCAGUCCUAGAAACACUGAUGAAUAAGGGGUGGGCAAGUUCUGGUGU
rnacentral:rRNA from 1 species